GUCUCCAAGUCCAUCAGGAAAACAGAGCUCAUCAGGGUCUAAACGGAUUUACCUCAAAUACUACUCUCACCUUCUACAGAUAUUUAGUCAUGCAACAUAGAUGAACCUUGAAGACAACCUAAGUGAAAGAAGACAACCACAUAUCUUAUGUCUCUUUUUAUAGCAUAUAGAACCAGAAAUAUGGCAGCAUGAGAAGAAAUGAUGCUGCUGGCUUUGAAGAUGGAGGAAGAGGCCACAAGCCAAAAACUGCAGGUAGUCUCUAGAAGCUGGUGAAGACAAGGAAAAAGGUAUUCUCCUAGGGAUUCAGAAAGGAACACAGCUCUGCUGAUACCUGCAUCUUAGUUCAGUAAAAGCUAUGUCAGACUUCUGACUUACAGAACUGGAAGAUAAUAAAUUUGU